rnacentral:rRNA from 1 species
UAUGUGAUCGUCUCUUGCAUAUCAAUAAGCGGAGGAAAAGAAACUAACAAGGAUUCCCCUAGUAACGGCGAGUGAAGCGGGAAGAGCUCAAAUUUGAAAUCUUAAAGGGUUUCCCUUUACGAAUUGUAGCUUAAAGAAGUGUUUUCUGUUGAGGUUUUGGUAAAAGUUCUUUGGAAUAGGACAUCAUAGAGGGUGAGAAUCCCGUAUUUGACCUUUACUUUCAACUUUGUGAUACACUUUCAAAGAGUCGGAUUGUUUGGGAAUGCAGUCCAAAAUGGGUGGUAAAUUUCAUCUAAAGCUAAAUAUUGGCGAGAGACCGAUAGCGAACAAGUACCGUGAGGGAAAGAUGAAAAGAACUUUGAAAAGAGAGUUAAACAGUACGUGAAAUUGUCAAAAGGGAAGCGUUUGACACCAGUGUUGUUUUUCUGAAAAUCAAUUAAAGAACUGUUUAUGCUAAGCUGUUUAGACUUUAUCAGCUAUACUGUUUAGUUUUGAGCUUUUCUUUAAUGCACUUUUCAGUUAACAAGUCAACAUCAAUUUCUUUUGCUGUAAAAAAGCUUGAGGAAGGUGGCUUGAGAUUCGUCUUAAGUGUUUAUAGCCUCUUGCCUAUGCAGUCGGAGAGAUUGAGGUCUGCAGCGUAGAUCCUUCGGGGCUAAAUGCAUUUGUGCUAAGUUAUAGCAUUUUAUAGACAACUUGUUGACUAUGAUUUGUCUUGUAGCUUACUCGCUUAUGUUAUUUUACCUACGCUUAGGAUGUUGAGUAGCGACAUACGCAC